rnacentral:rRNA from 1 species
GACAGAGGUGGCAAGCGUUGUUCGGAUUCAUUGGGUGUAAAGGGUCCGUAGGUGGUCGGGUAAGUCUGACGUGAAAUCCCAUGGCUCAACCGUGGAACUGCGUUGGAAACUGCCUGACUUGAGUACCGCAGAGGUAAAGGGAAUUCUCGGUGUAAGGGUGAAAUCUGUAGAUAUCGAGAGGAACACCAGUGGCGAAAGCGCUUUACUGGGCGGUUACUGACACUGAGGGACGAAAGCAAGGGGAGCAAACAGG